UACGUAGGGGGCAAGCGUUAUCCGGAUUUACUGGGUGUAAAGGGAGCGUAGACGGCUGUGCAAGUCUGGAGUGAAAGGCAUGGGCUCAACCUGUGGACUGCUUUGGAAACUGUGCGGCUUGAGUGUCGGAGAGGCAAGUGGAAUUCCUAGUGUAGCGGUGAAAUGCGUAGAUAUUAGGAGGAACACCAGUGGCGAAGGCGGCUUACUGGACUGUAACUGACGUUGAGGCUCGAAAGCGUGGGGAGCAAACAGG
rnacentral:rRNA from 1 species